rnacentral:rRNA from 1 species
GAUGAACGCUGGCGGCGUGCCUAAUACAUGCAAGUCGAGCGAACAGACGAGGAGCCUGCUCCUUUGACGUUAGCGGCGGACGGGUGAGUAACACGUAGGUAACCUACCUAUAAGACUGGGAUAACUUCGGGAAACCGGAGCUAAUACCGGAUAAUAUUUCGAACCGCAUGGUUCGAUAGUGAAAGAUGGCUUUGCUAUCACUUAUAGAUGGACCUGCGCCGUAUUAGCUAGUUGGUAAGGUAACGGCUUACCAAGGCAACGAUACGUAGCCGACCUGAGAGGGUGAUCGGCCACACUGGAACUGAGACACGGUCCAGACUCCUACGGGAGGCAGCAGUAGGGAAUCUUCCGCAAUGGGCGAAAGCCUGACGGAGCAACGCCGCGUGAGUGAUGAAGGUCUUCGGAUCGUAAAACUCUGUUAUUAGGGAAGAACAAACGUGUAAGUAACUGUGCACGUCUUGACGGUACCUAAUCAGAAAGCCACGGCUAACUACGUG